AAAUAAUCAGUUUAAAUAUUCCUUUAAACAAUCCUUUUAGGUCUACAUUUCCUUUACACUGACUUCUUGGUAUAUGUACAAGUAUUUUGGGUGGAAUAUACCAUUAAGCCCAAUGUUCAAGGGUUCUUCUGGGAAUAUACCAUUAAACCAACCUUUUAGGUAAAUGUUCCAGGAUGUUGGGUAGAAUAUACCAUCAGAUCAACCUUUUAGGUCUACAUUGGAAGAUUUUAGAGUAGAAUAUUACUCCAAACCAUCCUUUAGGUCUACAUUUAAGGUGGAAUACUCCUUUACACCAAGAUUUUUUGGUCUACAUUGAAGGAUUUUAGGUGGAAUAUUCCUUUGAACGAACUUUUUAAGUUUAUGUUCAAGGAUGUUGGGUGGAAUAUACCAUCAGACCAACCUCCAAGGUCUACAGUAGUGAAUUUUAGGUGGAAUAUACCAUUAAACUCACCUUUUAGUCUACAUUUAAGGAUGUUUAGGAUGGUAUAUUCUUCCAAACCAACUUCUCAGGUCUACAUUUCAGGUGGAAUAUUCCUCCAUACUAACUUUUUUGGUCUACAUUGAAGGAUUUUUUUCUAAACCACCCUUUGGGGUCUAUAUUUGAGGUUUUAGGUGGAAUAUUCCUUUUAACCAGCCCCUCAGGUCUCUUUGAGGAUUUUGGAUGGAAUACUCAGUUAAAGCAACAUUUUAGGUGCAUGUCCAAGGAUUUUUGGUGGAAUGUUCCUUUAAGGUGGAUGUGUGAGGACCUUGUAGGUGGAAUACUUCCUGAAACCAACCUUUUAGGUCAACAUUCAAAGAUUUAAGGUGGAAUAUUCCUUUAAACCAACCUAAAUUUCAUGUUUUGAUCAUUAUCAAGUGAGAAACCUCAAUCCAGACUCCUCAUAAUGACGUUUGAGAUUUAUGCUGCUGUUAUUUGUUUAGUCCAGACUAAAUGACAGAAAUCCACAACUGUAAUUUUAUUUCAGGACUCGGUUAUUAAAUGUCAAAACAAUCCAUGUGACUCUAAAAACUCAACAGCUUUACAAACUCUAAGAUUAAACUCUCCACAAGGAUCCAAAAUAAGUUGGACUUCUACAUGAGAGCUUUAAUUAUUCUUCAUCUACUUCCU
ensembl:lncRNA